CAUUUUCACCUUCAUUUCCUAUGACAUGAGGAUAUAGCAAAAGAUGAAAUUUAUGACUAAAUAGUUAUCCUUAAACCAUUUAGCAGCUUUAUAUAAUGAUGCUAUCAAAUGAAAGGUAGAUUAUGAAGCACAUGUACUUCAAAAUAGUUAUUAUCUGAAUCUCAUAUCUAAGCCUGACAAGUAUCCCUAAGAAACAGGUUUAGACCUUCCUGAUUGUAGACUUUAUAUUUGCUUUUCAAACUCUAAUGCCUUUAUUAUAUAUGAAACAAAGAUAUGUAACAUUAUAAAGUAACAGCAAAACAUGAACAAAAACAGCUAUUUAUUUUAAUGUAUAGUUUUUUAGCUAAGUACUAUUUUUUCUUGAUCAACAGCUUAUGACAAAUGAUAGAUUCAAGAGUGUUGAGCAUAGAGUACUGGCAAAUUCUGUUGGUCCAAGAAUAUCGGUUGCAUGCUUUUUCAGCACAGGCCUUCUGCCAUCGCCAAAGCUUUAUGGACCUAUUAAAGAACUCUUAUCCGAAGACAAUCCUCCCAGAUACAGAGAAACUACAGUCUCAGAAUAUGUAACCUACUUUAUAGCAAAAGGCCUUGAUGGAAUUUCUGCUCUUCAACAUUUUAGGAUUUGAGGACAAUGUUGAACUAUUAAGUAUUGCCAUAUGUUACAUUCUCUAUGUUUAUGAAUCUUGGACUAGAAACUUGUGUGGUAUAUAUAGUUCAUUUAUGUCUUGCAAUUAAGACAUUGAAAAGUGUCCAUGAUUGAAGACAAAUUACAAAGUGAUAUUAGGAAAAGGUAGAUAUAUUAUCACAUAUAAGGGGGUUUAGUACACCAACAAUUUUUCACAGGGAAUACUCCAAUGAAUUACGAGCUUAGUAUUGGCGAUGGGCUAUUUUCAACAAUAAUCAUGAAAUACUCUGAAGAUUUACCAUAGUAUCAUACACAUUAUUACAGUAUUCACAAUUAUUCUCAUUUUAUAGUAAUGUGCUAUAUAAUCCAUAUCAAAACCUUAGUAACAAGUAACUUGAUCUACCUUUUUUUACAAAAAAAAAAGUUAGGACUGUUAAGAAAAUGAAACUAGGAAUUGCUGGCAAAUAAGAAUUAGGUAAACUAAAAACUCAUGCUCAAACAAAAAAAUUAAAAAUUACAAAAAGCCUAAACCCUAUUAUCUUAAUAGACGAACGAAAAACCAUAGGGUACAAAGCAAGAAGUAAAUAAAUUAAUGAAUAGAAGAGAAGACACACCACACCAGAGACAAACCUCAAUAUAUUCCUCUGCUAUAUAAACUGUGUAUGAACUGAACAAUGUGGGGCUUCGUACUCAUUAGUCAUCCCAAUGACUUGUUUUUGCUUCCUCGACUUUGUGUCAGUAAACCACAACCUUCCUCACUGUAACAUCGUCCAAAGUAAACAACUUUGUUAUAUCUUAUAUGUAAGCUAAAAAUCAAAGGCAGUGAAAAUUAAUAAUAAAGUCACACACAACUGAAACCGCAUCAUAAUAAAAGGAGCACAUCGUGAGUUACCGGAAGAGAAAAGGUGAACGAACGAUUACACCAGUGAAAAUAGCGUUGUUGAGGGUAGAGAUUAAAGAACGAAAGGGGGAAAAUGUACCCAAAAAAAU
rnacentral:lncRNA from 1 species